ensembl:lincRNA 4933413J09Rik RIKEN cDNA 4933413J09 gene
AUGAAGGCAUUGAAAGCAAGGGCAUGCAGGAAAUAUGAUGGUGUGAAAAAGUCCAGCAUGAACUCAGACAGGCCACAGACCAGGACCAGAGCCUCCUGUAGAUCAAGCUGCUGCAGAAGGAGCAAUGAGCAUGCCUGCUCCCUUGAGAGACCUGAGGAGGAUGAAGGAAAAUACGGACAACUCGAAUCCAUGACUAUGUUCAGUCUAGGAUCAAGGCCUCCUCACAAAAGCCAUCUCCUUGUAUCUGAGAACUCAACAGACCGUCUGGAAUCAGUUGCGGCAUCACAAUCCUGUAACACCAGAACUCCCAGGCAGAGAUGGAUGUCUGCAAGUGCCAGGUGGCUUGGUCUACACAGUGUGAAAAAGUCCAGCAUGAACUCAGACAGGGAGACCUGAGGAGGAUGAAGGAAAAUACAGACAACUUGAAUCCAUGACAGUCUUCAGUCUAGGAUCAAGGCCUCCUCACAAAAGCCAUCUCCUUGUAGCUGAGAACUCAACAGGCAGCCACUUGACCGUCAACAACAACAACAACAACAACAACAACAAUAAUAAAGACUGUGGAUGUUGCUGCUGA